rfam:Salmo salar isolate Sally breed double haploid chromosome ssa24, whole genome shotgun sequence.
UUGACCAGAUAUUGUAAGUCGCUCUGGAUAAGAGCGUCUGCUAAAUGACUUAAA